CGGGGUGCACCAGGCGCGAAAACUCUACAAUGCAGGCAACUGCGAUAGGGGAACAUCGAGUGAUCCUCAUAUUGGGGGUCUGUCCACCCGUCUAAAAAACGGGUGUUAGCAAGGGCCGGGCAAGACCGGUGCCAGCCGCCGCGGUAAUACCGGCGGCUCGAGUGGUGGCCGAUAUUAUUGAGUCUGAAGGGUCCGUAGCCGGCUUUGCAAGUCUCUCGGGAAAUCCAGCGGCUUAACCGUUGGUCGUCCGGGGGGUACUACAUUGCUUGGGACUGGGAGAGGUAGGAGGUACUCAGGGGGUAGGAGUGAAAUCCUGUAAUCCUUUGGGGACCACCGGUGGCGAAGGCGUCCUACCAGAACAGGUCCGACGGUGAGGGACGAAAGCUAGGGGCACGAACCGGAUUAGAUACCCGGGUAGUCCUAGCCGUAAACGAUGUUCGCUAGGUGUCACAACAGUCGUGAAUUGUUGUGGUGCCGUAGGGAAGCCGUGAAGCGAGCCACUUGGGAAGUACGACCGUAAGGUUGAAACUUAAAGGAAUUGGCGGGGGAGCACAAGGGCGAUUCGCG
rnacentral:rRNA from 1 species